rnacentral:rRNA from 1 species
AUGGGGGAAACCCUGAUGCAGCGACGCAGCGUGCGGGAUGACGGCCUUCGGGUUGUAAACCGCUUUCAGCAGGGAAGAAGCGAAAGUGACGGUACCUGCAGAAGAAGUACCGGUUAACUACGUGCCAGCAGCCGCGGUAAUACGUAGGGUACGAGCGUUGCCCGGAAUUAUUGGGCGUAAAGAGCUCGUAGGUGGUUGGUCACGUCUGCUGUGGAAACGCAACGCUUAACGUUGCGCGUGCAGUGGGUACGGGCUGACUGGAGUGCAGUAGGGGAGUCUGGAAUUCCUGAUGUAGCGGUGAAAUGCGCAGAUAUCAGGAGGAACACCGGUGGCGAAGGCGGGACUCUGGGCUGUAACUGACACUGAGGAGCGAAAGCAUGGGGAGCGAACAGGAUUAGAUACCCUGGUAGUCCAUGCCGUAAACGUUGGGCACUAGGUGUGGGGGACAUUUCACGUUCUCCGCGCCGUAGCUAACGCAUUAAGUGUCCCGCCUGG